rnacentral:rRNA from 1 species
AUUGAACGCUGGCGGCAGGCCUAACACAUGCAAGUCGAACGAGUGGCGGACGGGUGAGUAAUGUAUGGGAAACUGACCGAUGGAGGGGGAUAACUACUGGAGACGGUAGCUAAUACCGCAUACGCUCGGAUGUGCCCCCAUGGGAUUAGCUAGUAGGUGGGGUAAAGGCUCACCUAGGCGACGAUACCUAGCUGGUUUGAGAGGAUGACCAGCCACACUGGAACUGAGACACGGUCCAGACUCCGACGGGAGGCAGCAGUGGGGAAGAUUGCACAAUGGGCGCAAGCCUGAUGCAGCCAUGCCGCGUGUAUGAAGAAGGCCUUCGGGUUGUAAAGUACUUUCAGCGAGGAGGCGUUACUCGCAGAAGAAGCACCGGCUAACUCCGUGCCAGCAGCCGCGGUAAUAC